CCUACGGGAGGCAGCAGUGGGGAAUAUAGCACAAUGGGCGCAAGCCUGAUGCAGCCAUGCCGCGUGUGUGAAGAGGGCCUUCGGGUUGUAAAGCACUUUCAGCGGGGAGGAAGGCGUUAAGGUUAAUAACCUUGUCGAUUGACGUUACCCGCAGAAGGAGCACCGGCUAACUCCGUGCCAGCAGCCGCGGUAAUACGGAGGGUGCAGGCGUUAAUCGGAAUUACUGGGCGUAAAGCGCACGCAGGCGGUCUGUCAAGUCGGAUGUGAAAUCCCCGGGCUCAACCUGGGAACUGCAUUCGAAACUGGCAGGCUAGAGUCUUGUAGAGGGGGGUAGAAUUCCAGGUGUAGCGGUGAAAUGCGUAGAGAUCUGGAGGAAUACCGGUGGCGAAGGCGGCCCCCUGGACAAAGACUGACGCUCAGGUGCGAAAGCGUGGGGAGCAAACAGGAUUAGAUACCCCGGUAGUC
rnacentral:rRNA from 1 species